rnacentral:rRNA from 1 species
CCUACGGGCGGCUGCAGUGAGGAAUAUUGGACAAUGGACGAGAGUCUGAACCAGCCAAGUAGCGUGAAGGAUGACUGCCCUAUGGGUUGUAAACUUCUUUUAUAUGGGAAUAAAAUGUUCCACGUGUGGGAUUUUGUAUGUACCAUAUGAAUAAGGAUCGGCUAACUCCGUGCCAGGAGCCGCGGUAAUACGGAGGAUUCGAGCGUUAUCCGGAUUUAUUGGGUUUAAAGGGAGCGUAGGUGGAUUGUUAAGUCAGUUGUGAAAGUUUGCGGCUCAACCGUAAAAUUGCAGUUGAAACUGGCAGGCUUGAGUACAGGAGAGGUGGGCGGAAGUCGUGGUGUAGCGGUGAAAUGCUUAGAUAGCACGAAGAACUCCGAUUGCGAAGGCAGCUCACUGGACUGUAACUGACGCUGAGGCUCGAAAGUGUGGGUAGCAAACAGGAUUAGAUACCCCGGUAGUC